GACGAACGCUGGCGGCGUGCCUAAUACAUGCAAGUAGAACGCUGAAGAGAGGAGCUUGCUCUUCUUGGAUGAGUUGCGAACGGGUGAGUAGCGCGUAGGUAACCUGCCUUGUAGCGGGGGAUAACUAUUGGAAACGAUAGCUAAUACCGCAUAACAAUGGAUGACACAUGUCAUUUAUUUGAAAGGGGCAAUUGCUCCACUACAAGAUGGACCUGCGUUGUAUUAGCUAGUAGGUGAGGUAAUGGCUCACCUAGGCGACGAUACAUAGCCGACCUGAGAGGGUGAUCGGCCACACUGGGACUGAGACACGGCCCAGACUCCUACGGGAGGCAGUAGUAGGGAAUCUUCGGCAAUGGGGGCAACCCUGACCGAGCAACGCCGCGUGAGUGAAGAAGGUUUUCGGAUCGUAAAGCUCUGUUGUAAGUCAAGAACGGGUGUGAGAGUGGAAAGUUCACACUGUGACGGUAGCUUACCAGAAAGGGACGGCUAACUACGUG
rnacentral:rRNA from 1 species